GGGCGUUGUUAGGUUGGGUUGGGAGAAGGUGGGGUAAGUUCCGUUAAGGGGGGCAACCUUGUCCUUAAGUAACAGGAAGUUAUGGGGGGCAAUUUAAGGAGGAUGCCGGGGACCAACCGGGGGGAGGUGGGGAAGAAGUUAAGUUAUUAAGGCCCUUACGGGCUGGGGUAAAAAAGGGGUACCAUGGUUGGGAACGAGGGUUGCCCAACCGGGGGGUGGGAGUUAUUCCACUAAACCGGUUGUUAUUCGGGUUGCCGUUUGCCAAUUGGAUGGGGGGAAUUGGGAUUGGUUGUGUAUUGGGGAUUCAGGAAGUUCCGGGGGAAGAGGUUCCGGGUUCUUUUACACGCAUC
rnacentral:rRNA from 1 species